UAACGCGUGGAUAACCUGCCUUGCACUGGGGGAUAACACUUAGAAAUAGGUGCUAAUACCGCAUAAGCGCACAGAGCCGCAUGGCUCAGUGUGAAAAACUCCGGUGGUGUAAGAUGGAUCCGCGUCUGAUUAGCUGGUUGGCGGGGUAGAAGCCCACCAAGGCGACGAUCAGUAGCCGGCCUGAGAGGGUGAACGGCCACAUUGGGACUGAGACACGGCCCAAACUCCUACGGAAGGCAGCAG
rnacentral:rRNA from 1 species